rnacentral:hammerhead_ribozyme from 1 species
AUCAAGCUGACGAGUCCCAAAUAGGAUGAAACUCACGUCUAGGAU